rnacentral:rRNA from 1 species
CCCUUAGAUGUCCUGGGCCGCACGCGCGCUACACUGACAUGUUCAACAAGCCUCCUAGUUCGACAGGAUUUGGGAAAUCUUUGAACGCAUGUCGUGAUAGGGAUAGAUCAUUGCAAUUAUUGAUCUUGAACGAGGAAUUCCUAGUAAACGCGAGUCAUCAGCUCGCAUUGAUUACGUCCCUGCCCUUUGUACACACCGCCCGUCGCUCCUACCGAUUGAAUGUGUUGGUGAGGAGCUCGGAUUGGCAGCAGUUGGUGGUUCGCCACCGGCUAUUGCUGAGAAGUCCUCCAAACCGCCCCAUUUAGAGGAAGGAGAAGUCGUAACA